rnacentral:rRNA from 1 species
CGUGUAGGCGGGUCGACAAGUUGGAUGUGAAAUCAAUCGGCUUAACCGGUUGGCUGCAUCCAAAACUGACGAUCUUGAGUGUCGGAGAGGAUAGUGGAAUUCCUAGUGUAGCGGUAAAAUGCGUUGAUAUUAGGAGGAACACCAGUGGCGAAGGCGACUAUCUGGACGACAACUGACGCUGAGGCGCGAAAGCGUGGGGAGCAAACAGGAUUAGAUACCCUGGUAGUCC